rnacentral:rRNA from 1 species
GCAUAUCAAUAAGCGGAGGAAAAGAAACCAACAGGGAUUGCCCUAGUAACGGCGAGUGAAGCGGCAACAGCUCAAAUUUGAAAUCUGGCGUCUUUGGCGUCCGAGUUGUAAUUUGCAGAGGGCGCUUUGGCAUUGGCAGCGGUCCAAGUUCCUUGGAACAGGACGUCACAGAGGGUGAGAAUCCCGUACGUGGUCGCUAGCCUCUACCGUGUAAAGCCCCUUCGACGAGUCGAGUUGUUUGGGAAUGCAGCUCUAAAUGGGAGGUAAAUUUCUUCUAAAGCUAAAUACUGGCCAGAGACCGAUAGCGCACAAGUAGAGUGAUCGAAAGAUGAAAAGCACUUUGGAAAGAGAGUUAAAAAGCACGUGAAAUUGUUGAAAGGGAAGCGCUUGCAGCCAGACUUGCCUGUAGUUGCUCAUCCGGGUUUUUACCCGGUGCACUCUUCUAUAGGCAGGCCAGCAUCAGUUUGGGCGGUUGGAUAAAGGUCUCUGUCACGUACCUCCUCUCGGGGAGAACUUAUAGGGGAGACGUAAUGCAACCAGCCUGGACUGAGGUCCGCGCAUCUGCUAGGAUG